GGUUGUGGCUCAGUGGUAGAGCACUUGCCUGGCAUGUAUGAGGCACUGGGUUUGAUCCUCAGCACCA
rnacentral:tRNA from 1 species